GUCCAUCUGAUGAGCCCCGAAUAGGACGAAACACGCGUCCUGGAC
rfam:Schistosoma curassoni strain Dakar, Senegal genome assembly, scaffold: SCTD_scaffold0006155